GCUCUUUUAGCUCAGUAGGUAGAGCAAUGCCAUGGUAAGGCAGAGGUCGCUGGUUCGAUUCCGGCAAGGAGCACCA
rnacentral:tRNA from 1 species